rnacentral:rRNA from 1 species
GUUGACCUCGGAUCAGUAGGAUACCCGCUGAACUUAAGCAUAUCA